GACAGAGGUGCCAAGCGUUAGGCGGAAUCACUGGGCUUAAAGCGUGUGUAGGCGGAAUGGUAAGUACCUUGUGAAAUCCCACGGCUCAACCGUGGAACUGCUUGGUAUACUGCUUUUCUUGAGCCACUUAGGGGCAACCGGAACAAACGGUGGAGCGGUGAAAUGCGUAGAUAUCGUUUGGAACGCCAAUGGUGAAAACAGGUUGCUGGGAGUGUGCUGACGCUGAGACGCGAAAGCGUGGGGAGCAAACAGG
rnacentral:rRNA from 1 species